rnacentral:tRNA from 1 species
AGGGAAAUGGCUCAGUGGUAGAGCACAUGCUUAGCAUGCAUGAGGUCCUAGGUUCAAUCCCCAGUCCCUCCA